AGGGCACCACCAGGAGUGGAGCCUGCGGCUUAAUUUGACUCAACACGGGAAAUCUCACCAGGCCCGGACACCGGAAGGAUUGACAGAUUGAGAGCUCUUUCUUGAUUCGGUGGGUGGUGGUGCAUGGCCGUUCUUAGUUGGUGGAGCGAUUUGUCUGGUUAAUUCCGAUAACGAACGAGACUCUGGCCUACUAACUAGACGUCAGAUCCUUUAUGGGUCUGUCGUAGCUUCUUAGAGGGACGGGCGGCGUUUAGCCGCACGAGAAUGAGCAAUAACAGGUCUGUGAUGCCCUUAGAUGUCCGGGGCUGCACGCGCGCUACACUGGCGAAAUCAGCGUGCUGUAUCCAUUCUCGAAAGGGAUUGGUAAACCCAUGAAAAUUUGCCGUGCUUGGGAUCGGAAAUUGCAAUUAUUUUCCGUGAACGAGGAAUUCCAAGUAAGUGCGAGUCAUCAACUCGCUCUGAUUACGUCCCUGCCCUUUGUACACACCGCCCGUCGCUGCCCGGGACUGAGCCAUUUCG
rnacentral:rRNA from 1 species